rnacentral:rRNA from 1 species
UGAAGAGUUUGAUCAUGGCUCAGAUUGAACGCUGGCGGCAGGCCUAAC